rnacentral:rRNA from 1 species
AUGCACGUCACCGACGCGUCCGACGGCAAGCCCAGGGAGCUUGAGCGUGUCCAGGAGCCGCCUCUUCUUCCCCUACUUCCUCUACUUCCACUACAUCACCAAGGGAACGCCAAGUCCUACAUCGACGGCCACCUCCACUGCUUCCUCUGCUUCGCAACAGCGAACGCCGCCUCAGUUAGCAGCUCGAGUCGACCCUCCGUCGCCUCCCCGGCCACUCAUCCAUGUCCGUUAAACGCUAGGGAUUGGAGACGGUGGCGUUGUAGACUUCAAGAAUCAAGACUUGCAGUCGGAUGUAUACUUGUAUAG